GUGUAAGGCAGUUUAUUGAAGCGCUAUCCGGGUAUGGAAAGCUAUCGGUGCCUUAAAUGUAUUGACAACGCGUAAGAAAGUGACCAAUGAGAACAGGCAUUUAUCAACGCGUAAAGAAGACUGUGAUUAGACUACGCGUCUUAAAAACAAUGCGUAAAUUCCAAAUUUACCCGAGGAGGGGGAGUAGACAUCCUAAGUCUGUAGCACUGUUACCAGUUCCAUUGCAAAGUGAGGUUGGAGCCUAUUUAAGCUGCGUGAAUCUACUAGUGGUCAGUCUACAGGUAACCAACGUCUGAGGCAGAUAGUUGUUAUAUUAGUCAAGCAGGCUAUUUGUGUGCCAGCACGAUGUGCCAGCAAAUCGAAGAGCCUCACAACAAAAGAGCCGGGAGUCUAGCUGCGGGAGUUAGCAAGGGGAGGCCUGCACCGAGACGCUGUUGGGAAAGAUCCGAACAGCGCUCUGGAAGAUGCCAUCUACUAGUCAGCUAAGAACCUCGGAGUCACCCUGGACCCCUUCCUCUCUUAUUCCCAGCACAUCACCCUGGCACGCACUUGCCGAUUCUUCCUGAGCAACAUACGAAGAAUCUGACCCUUCUUCACCAACUACGCCACCCACUUCCUGGUCCAGGCCCUGGUACUCUCCCGCCUAGACUACUGCAACUCCCUCCUGGCUGGCCUCCCUUGGUCCGCCACCCGUCCGCUCCAGCUCAUCCAGAACUCCGCAGCUCGCCUGGUGUUCUCUCUGCCUCGCUUCUCCCAUGCAACUCCACUGCUCCGCUCACUCCACUAGCUCCCGAUCACCGCUCGCAUCCAGUUCAAGACUCUUGUACUCGCCUACAGAUGCCUUAACCAGACUGCACCCAGCUACCUCCAGACCCUCAUCUCUCCCUACACCCCCACUCGAUCUCUCCGCUCCUCCUGCACUAGAAGACUGGCUCUACCUCCUCUACGCUCCCCUGCCUCCAGAGCCCGCUUCUUCUCCACCCUCGCCCCACAGUGGUGGAAUGACCUUCCUACAGAUGUCAGGACUGUCCAGUCCCUGACCAUCUUCCGGCGCCUCCUCAAGACUCACCUCUUCAGACAACACCUGUAGAAACUCCUCUUUUCCAUCUGGACACUUAUCACUCUUCCUUAAAUGCACUUUACUUGCUCUUAUUUGCUCCCUAUUUUACUGCAUUUAACCCUGUACUUUAGAGUACUGUAAUCUGUCAAGUGUCAUUUAAUCUGUAGUGUUUUGUAUUUAAUUAUAUCCUGAUGUAACUAUCACUGACACUGUUAUGUGCUCCGUUUUAUUGAAUCGUAUUUUGUCAUAUACUUGUACUUGCUAGAACCGAAGUGAUUGUAUUUUAUCUUGCUCUUAAUUGUAUUUGUACUGUGAUUCUUGAAAUGUAUUUUUGUUUACGACUGUAAGUCGCCCUGGACAAGGGCGUCUGCUAAGGAAUAAAUAAUAAUAAUAAUAAGUGGAGACAGAAAUGUACUGGAACAACAUUAUUUCCGUACUGUUUAGAUUUUAAUGUUCAAAUGGCAGUGCUGAACAAUUGUAACUUUUGUAAAUUGACUUAAUUAUCUGUUCCAUGUUUUAAAAUAAUCCUGAUUAGAAAGAUUAAUCUGCUUGGUAACAUAUAGUGUUAAUUUAUACAAUAAGAUGUCGUACAAGAAGGAAUAGUUAUCUGAAACAGUUGUAAUAAAAAAUUUGAAGUUAUAGCACCCGUGAGGGGCACUGAUUCUUUCUGAUCGGGCUGGGAUCAGACAGGCAGCACACCAGAAGAGAAAUUAGACCACAAUAUUAUGUUAGGCAAUGAACAUCGUUUUAUUAAAUACAGGUAGUAACUAUACUUAACAAAUAGGAAUCAUGAAAUCAGGAACAUCUAUACUGCUCAGCUUCUCCAAAUACAAUCAAUUUACAGGCAUGGGAGCUGCGAACAGGAGAGCAUGAACUAACAGAAAAUAAUGUGCCAAAAUAAAUGUG